GACGAACGCUGGCGGCGUGCUUAACACAUGCAAGUCGAACGGAAAGGCCCUGCUUUUGUGGGGUGCUCGAGUGGCGAACGGGUGAGUAACACGUGAGUAACCUGCCCUUGACUUUGGGAUAACUUCAGGAAACUGGGGCUAAUACCGGAUAGGAGCUCCUGCUGCAUGGUGGGGGUUGGAAAGUUUCGGCGGUUGGGGUUGGACUCGCGGCUUAUCAGCUUGUUGGUGGGGUAGUGGCUUACCAAGGCUUUGACGGGUAGCCGGCCUGAGAGGGUGACCGGCGACAUUGGGACUGAGAUACGGCCCAGACUCCUACGGGAGGCAGCAGUGGGGAAUAUUGCCCAAUGGGCGGAAGCCUGAUGCAGCGACGCCGCGUGCGGGAUGACGGCCUUCGGGUUGUAAACCGCUUUCGCCUGUGACGAAGCGUGAGUGACGGUAAUGGGUAAAGAAGCACCGGCUAACUACGUG
rnacentral:rRNA from 1 species